rnacentral:tRNA from 1 species
AAGGCUUUAUCUUAAUAAAAGUAUUUGAUUUGCAUUCAGAAGAUGAAGGUUGGUUGCCUUCAAGUCUUA